UACGUAGGCAGCAAGCGUUGUUCGGAAUUACUGGGCGUAAAGAGUGUGUAGGCGGUGCUCUAAGUUCGGUGUGAAAUCUCCUGGCUUAACUGGGAGGGUGCGCCGAAAACUGGAGUGCUCGAGCGUGGGAGAGGAAAGCGGAAUUCCUGGUGUAGCGGUGAAAUGCGUAGAUAUCAGGAGGAACACCUGUGGUGUAGACAGCUUUCUGGACCAUUGCUGACGCUGAGACACGAAAGCGUGGGUAGCAAACAGG
rnacentral:rRNA from 1 species